rnacentral:lncRNA from 1 species
CACCCCCACUCCUCUUCCCUACCCCAACAAUACUCAUAUUCACAAGACUCAAAAAAUUCACAUUUCUCAAAAAUUUACAUUACUCAAAAAUAUUUUUCACUCUGUUUUGUUUCAAUUUUUCAUUGCUUGAAAUAAAAAAUAGUGAAGCCCGAAUUUUUUCCUUUUCCAAUGUUCGUUGAAUGUAUUGUUAUUUUCAUAUGCAUAGAGGAAGACUUAACUAUGUUACUUUUGCUAAUUGCAUAAUUCAUUUUGUCAU